rnacentral:misc_RNA from 1 species
GAUGAAGAACGCAGCGAAACGCGAAAGGUAAUGCGAAUUGCAGAAUCAGUGAGUCAUCGAGUCUUUGAACGCACAUUGCGCCCCCUGGUAUUCCGGGGGGCAUGCCUGUCCGAGCGUCAUUGCUGCCCUCAAGCACGGCUUGUGUGUUGGGCCCCCGCCCCCCGGCUUCGGGGGGCGGGCCCGAAAGGCAGCGGCGGCACCGCGUCCGGUCCUCGAGCGUAUGGGGCUUCGUCACCCGCUCUGUAGGCCCGGCCGGCGCCCGCCGGCGACCCCAAUCAAUCUUUCCAGGUUGACCUCGGAUCAGGUAGGGAUACCCGCUGAACUUAAGCAUAUCAAUAAGCGGAGGA